AGGAUAAUGCUACUUACUUCCAUAGGAAGGACAUCACACCAUACCUUCUCCUGAUAGGAUUGGAAUUGUAUCUGGACUUAGCAUCUAAGUUUAAUGGGUAUUGAGGUCAAAUUUAUCCAAGAUACCUUAUAGGGAUUGGGAUGGGGUACGGUAGGCAACCCUAAACUCUUGACAGUAUUGGUUGAUAUGGCGUUGACACAGCUUCCACUAUCUAAGAUGAUUUUGCAGGCUUUUUCUCCUAUUUUAAUAAAGGUUUGUAGGAUGUUGGUCCUACGCCAAUCUUCUUGUUCUUUAGCCUGGGUCAAUAUACAUCUCACAACUCCUAGAAAUUCAGAUGUCUCAA
rnacentral:lncRNA from 1 species